ACUCCAUGAAGUCGGAAUCGCUAGUAAUCGUGGAUCAGAAUGCCACGGUGAAUACGUUCCCGGGCCUUGUACACACCGCCCGUCACACCAUGGGAGUGGGCUGCAAAAGAAGUAGGUAGUUUAACCUUCGGGGGGACGCUUACCACUUUGUGGUUCAUGACUGGGGUGAAGUCGUAACAAGGUAGCGCUAGGGGAACCUGGCGCUGGAUCACCUCCUUAWACGAUGAU
rnacentral:rRNA from 1 species